CAUGGAUCAUUUGUUCAGUGUUUGGUUCCAACAACAAGCUCGUGGAGGAAAAUACCUUGUUUGCUUAUAAAAAGAUUGCAGCUGAAUACGUAAUUGCUGAGAACAGAGCACUGGGACCCCAGGUCUCCAGGAUGAGGAUCUGGAUCCGUUAUUUUGGGGGAGUAAAAAGCCUUAAGUCAGUUUCCCUGUGUGUAAACAAAGCUUCACGUUGCAUGUCUUGUGGGAAAGUAGUGAAAUUCUUUCUUUUUAAAGGUGCUCGGUGUAAAUGUCAUUUUUCUGGCUGGAGUCUUUGCUGGGCCCAAAGGCAAAGCCUAAUAUCAAAUGUUUGCUACAAUUUUCAGUCUGGGACGUCUCUUGACCCGUGUGCACAGACGAUGAACAAUUUCUCCUUUCUGGGUUGGCUUCUUUGCCUCUUGGUGCAGAAGUUGUGCUGAAAGCAUGCCAGGAACCUAAGUCAUAGAGCAGUGCUCUGGAACUGGAGUGAGAACAACAUGCUUGAUGAAACAUGUCAAGCUACAUUAUAUUGUAGGACUGCCUAAUCAAAAGGGCCUGCAAGCAGAAUGGGGUUAAUUCAUGAAGGCUGAGGUCCUUCAGCAGAAAUGUGACAUAGAGUGCAAGUGCAGUGUAUAGUCCUGUGUAUAAGAGGAGAAUUUUAAAUUCAAAUGUUCUCUGAAACUCCAAAACCAGAAGUAAACAAAAGGAGGAAUCAAGCUACAGA